AUUGAACGCUGGCGGCAGGCCUAACACAUGCAAGUCGAGCGGAUGAAGGGAGCUUGCUCCUGGAUUCAGCGGCGGACGGGUGAGUAAUGCCUAGGAAUCUGCCUGGUAGUGGGGGAUAACGUCCGGAAACGGGCGCUAAUACCGCAUACGUCCUGCGGGAGAAAGUGGGUGAUCUUCGGACCUCACGCUCUCAGAUGAGCCUAGGUCGGAUUAGCUAGUUGGUGGGGUAAAGGGCUACCAAGGCGACGAUCCGUAACUGGUCUGAGAGGAUGAUCAGUCACACUGGAAGUGAGACACGGUCCAGACGCCUAAGGGAGGCAGCAGUGGGGAAUAGUAGACAAUGGGCGAAAGCCUGAUCCAGCCAGGCCGCGUGUGUGAAGAAGGUCUUCGGAUUGUAAAGAACUUUAAGUUGGGAGGAAGGGCAGUAAGUUAAUACCUUGCUGUUUUGACGUUACCAACAGAAUAAGCACCGGCUAACUUCGUG
rnacentral:rRNA from 1 species